GACGAACGCUGGCGGCGUGCUUAACACAUGCAAGUCGAACGGAAAGGCCCUGCUUUUGUGGGGUGCUCGAGUGGCGAACGGGUGAGUAACACGUGAGUAACCUGCCCUUGACUUUGGGAUAACUUCAGGAAACUGGGGCUAAUACCGGAUAGGAGCUCCUGCUGCAUGGUGGGGGUUGGAAAGUUUCGGCGGUUGGGGAUGGACUCGCGGCUUAGCAGCUUGUUGGUGGGGUAGUGGAUUACCAAGGCUUUGACGGGUAGCCGGCCUGAGAGGGUGACCGGCCACAUUGGGACUGAGAUACGGGCCAGACUCCUACGGGAGGCAGCAGUGGGGAAUAUUGCACAAUGGGCGGAAGCAUGAUGCAGCAACGCCGCGUGCGGGAUGACGGCCUUCGGGUUGUAAACCGCUUUCGCCUGUGACGAAGCGUGAGUGACGGUAAUGGGUAAAGAAGCACCGGCUAACUACGUG
rnacentral:rRNA from 1 species